UAACGCGUGGUAACCUGCCUGGUAGCGGGGGAUAACUAUUGGAAACGAUAGCUAAUACCGCAUGACAACAGUUAUUGCAUGAUAACUGUUUAAAAGGCGAAAUUGCUCCACUACCAGAUGGACCUGCGUUGUAUUAGCUAGUUGGUGAGGUAACGGCUCACCAAGGCGACGAUACAUAGCCGACCUGAGAGGGUGAUCGGCCACACUGGGACUGAGACACGGCCCAG
rnacentral:rRNA from 1 species